rnacentral:rRNA from 1 species
AACGAACGCUGGCGGCGCGCCUAAUACAUGCAAGUCGAGCGAGAAGACGUAGCAAUACGUUUGUAAAGCGGCGAACGGGUGAGGAAUACAUGGGUAACCUACCCUCGAGUGGGGAAUAACUAGCCGAAAGGUUAGCUAAUACCGCGUACGCUCCUUGGACUUCGGUUCAGGGAGGAAAGCGAUACCGUGGGUAUCGCGCUCUUGGAUGGGCUCAUGUCCUAUCAGCUUGUUGGUGAGGUAACGGCUCACCAAGGCUUCGACGGGUAGCUGGUCUGAGAGGACGGAUCAGCCACACUGGCACUGCGACACGGGCCA